AACGGCGAGUGAAGCGGGAAGAGCUCAAAUUUGAAAUCUGGCGGUCUACGGCCGUCCGAGUUGUAGUGUAGAGAGGUGUUUUCCGUGACGGACCAUGUACAAGUCCCUUGGGAUGGGGCGUCAGAGAGGGUGAGAAUCCCGUUCACGACAUGGACUACCGUUGCUCUGUGAUGCGCCUUCUAAGAGUCGAGUUGUUUGAGAAUGCAGCUCAAAACGGGUGGUAAAUUCCAUCUAAAGCUAAAUACAGGCGAGAGACCGAUAGCGAACAAGUACCGUGAGGGAAAGAUGAAAAGAACUUUGGAAAGAGAGUUAAACAGUACGUGAAAUUGUUGAAAGGGAAACGCUUGAAGUCAGUCGCGUCUGCGGGGACUCAGCCUUGCCUUGUGCUUGGUGCACUUCCUCGUGGACGGGUCAGCAUCAGUUUUGAUUGCCGGAGAAAGGCGUGGGGAAUGUCGUUCCUCCUGRGAGUGUUAUAGCCCUGCGUCAUACACGGASGCUGGGASUGAGGAUUGCCGCRCGYAAGCG
rnacentral:rRNA from 1 species